rnacentral:rRNA from 1 species
UGAAACCAGGGUUAGAUACCCUGUUAUACUAGGAUAAAAACAAAGUGAUCUUGAACAAUAACAAUUAAUUAGUUCGAAAUUCAAAGGGUUUGGCGGCAUUUUAGUCCAGUUGGAGGAACCUGUUUUAUAAAUGAUAUGCCCCGUAUUAUCUUUCUUGCUCUUGUGUAAGCUAGUAUACCGUCAUUGUUAGGUAAUUUUGUUCGGUUAAAAAAUUAUUGCAAUUAGGUGUCAUUAAAUAUAUUAGAUCAUGGUGCUGCUAAUGAGCAAGUUCAAAAUGGGUUACAAUGAAAUUUAUUUAUACGGAUCGGUGAAUGAAAUUUUCACGGUGAAGGAGGAUUCAAUAGUAAUGCGGAUUUAAUAAGUCCACGUGAGAUCGGCUCUAAAAUGUGUACAUAUCCACCGUCGCUA